rnacentral:misc_RNA from 1 species
GGAUCGAUGGUCCAUCCGCAGGUACUUUAUGAAACCAUAUUUUCCUUAAAUAUCCAUGUUCUUUUACUUAACAUAGUCCACAGAUGAAGACAACGGUUCACUCUUCAGAUUUUAGUAGUUUGCCUCUGCUAAGAUACAUAAAUUAUAGUUGCAUUCCUCAUUUAAGCUUACACCUCAGUGGGGUAAAGUCGAGAGAUUAUUCAGUGCUACCGGAGCACGGGCCCCCUCUCUCACGUAUAUAUGGGUCCCACUCUCCCUUAAACAAGGAGCAACUGAAUUUUGUUUUCUUUAGGGAGGACUAUUUUUUAGUGUUUCUGGUAUAUAUCAUAAAUUUCUGAGUAAAGUGAUGUAUAAGCAAGAAACCUGCCAAUAAAAUCUCAUAUUUUAAAUGAGGCAUCAGGAUGGGGGAGUGGCAAUAAUAAUAUAUUAUCAAUUUUGAUUUUUGAAUCACUAUACUGACAAGAUGUGAGAAGUAGCAAACUAAAGGUAAGUAGGUUCAUAGCUUCAUCGGUUUUGGCAUAGCCAGCAACGAUACAAAUUCCUCACAUGCUAUGGACAACCUUAUA